rnacentral:tRNA from 1 species
GCUGUGAUGGCCGAGUGGGUAUGUUGCACAAUGUUCACCACACCAGUGCGACCAAAGCUAAUUGAAAUGAUAGUCUAAGGCGAUGGUUUUAAGCACCAUUAUCGAAAGAUGCGAGGGUUCGAACCCCUCUCGCAGCA